rnacentral:tRNA from 1 species
AUUAGGGUGGCAGAGCCUGGAAAUUGCAUAAGACUUAAAACCUUAUAACCAGGGGUUCAAUCCCCCUCCCUAAUA